CCCAAAUCCUCCCACUUAUGUUGUAAGCAAAUCAGAAUAGUUUUUUAUGUCUUUGACCUCAUGUGAUUGGAUCGUUUUCAGAGUCUCAUAACCGCGCUGCAGAUUGCCAUGUAACUGCUAGAGACAGUACUAAUCAGUGAAAGCAAGUGAAAUACCUUGAGAUGAUAGAAAAUAUGAUUUUAUGCUUACAAAAUCACCCUUUACAAGACGUUCAGUUGAAGAAUAAAUAAAGUAUUAAGGAGCUUGGACCAGAUUGAGCAGCAGGAAAUGAUCAUGGUCGAGUUUACAUGCUUUUCCAGGACUUAUGGCAAACGGAGUUGGCUAACAUUAGCUGGAUGAUAUAACCAGGCAAAUGCAAUAUGCUCACGUGUCUGCAAGACUGUCCGGUAGAGGGUAGAUGGCUCGCUUCCAUCCGUCAGCGGGAAAGAAAACAGACGGCUGCGACACUUGUCCGGCACAGCGCGGAUCUGCAGGUAAACACUGUGGGACCAGGUACUUCCAAGUCACGCCGAAGUUCACAGAGUACUGCACGUGAACCUGUCUCUCCACAGGCCUCUCAGCUGUUUACUUUAUCAAUAACCCAUGGACUAUGGAAAUGGCCGUUCUCAGAUGGCUGCCACCAGCGCAGGCGUGUUGCUGGAGUACGGGCUUUGAGAGGGAUCUCGAGAGCUACCAGGUGU